rnacentral:lncRNA from 1 species
GUUUGUAGUUAUGCAUGAAUAACACAUGCCAGAUCAGCACAGGGAAGCGUUUGGCUAGAACCCCAAAGAGGACUUGAGCUUUCUAUACCUACAGCCUCCUUUCCCCAACUCUAUCAUGUCAACUUUCUGCCCCUGGACUCUGGUAGAGAUGUCCCCGUCUCAACCAGAAUGUCCACAAUGUUUUAGGAAUCAGCGACCUUCAUGGAUGUGGUUGUGGACUUCACCCAGGAAGAAUAGGCCUUGGUGGGCGCAUCCCAGCGAAAGCUAUACAGAGAUGUGAUGCUGGAGAACAUCAGUCAUCUUCUCUCUGUUGUUGAGUCUGUCAACAAGGACUUAUUUACUCAAGUAUCCAGGGAAGUUUCCACAUAUCAUGCUCCCCUCUCAGCUCUCAUUUUUAUUCUUUCAUAACACAACUACGAGAAGGGUGGCAACUCCACAAAUAAGACACAAUUUCCCAUUGGAGCAAGGAGAGGAGUUGUGGAGGGAAGAAAGGGGAUUCCCACAAGGCCUGAAGCUGGGUAAGCUCCAGGCAUGUGUGUUCACUAUGAGGAGAAGCCUAGUCAGUGAGGGAUUAGGACCUUGGUAAUGCCAACUGCAGGUUUCCUUAAGUCAAUGGUCUUUUCAGGAAAGUAUGAGAAUCCAGUGGGGAAAAAUUCUCAAUGUUGUCAUUAUUCCUAGCAUUUGUCAAUGUCUUUUAUUUAUAGUUUAUGUCCUCUUUGGAUCAAAAGUUUCAUAUUGUGAACUUUGCCCUCAUCCCUUCCCCUUGAUGAUUUCUUCUCUCAUAACCUUACCAAAAUCCGUCUUAGUUUUCUCUUCAAUCUUUAAAACAUUUUGUAAUUGACAGUGCCCUAAAACUGUUUUUAGACACUAGUACAUUGCUCCAUUUCACAUUCUUGCCCUGUGUAAGGGUCAAUAUUUGCCUUGCAUGCUGUACAACACUUGGGUUCCCUAAUGCCUCUUGAGAAAUUUAUUUUUUAAUUUACUUUAGGCAGGAGAAGUAACCUUUAAAACCAAGAAAUUGUACCUAUACCAGAUAUCUGCAGGAAUAAUCCAUCUAACUGUACAGUGAUGGUAAGUUUCUUGGGUUGAACCCUGGUCCCCUACAUUAGAGGCCUGGGAAUGGGAUGAUUACUAGUAAAGCACAAUAACGGGACUAUAAUUUGAGUUGGGAGUAAGUGCCAUCCCAGCAGAAAGUUUUGCAUAAUUUUAAUUUAGGAAAGAUAUUGACCUGAGCUCAGAGCUAUAACCUGAGAUCUUAUAAAAGGACAAUUGUAUAAACAUGGCUCAAAUACCUAGUCUAUG